GCGGACUCAUCAUGGACGAAGCACCAAUUCUCGUACGAUCACCGAAGUUAAGCAACGUCCAGCCUGGUCAGUACCGAGAUGGGUAAACUUGCUUAGGAAUACCACAUGCUGUAAG